rnacentral:rRNA from 1 species
UACGUAGGGACCAAGCGUUGUCCGGAUUCAUUGGGCGUAAAGAGCUCGUAGGCGGCUCAGUAAGUCGGGUGUGAAACCUCCAGGCUCAACCUGGGAGACGCCACCCGAUACUGCUGUGGCUAGAGUCCAGUAGGGGAGCGUGGAAUUCCUGGUGUGAGCGGUGAAAUGCGCAGAUAUCAGGAGGAACACCGCGGCGAAGGCGGCGCUCUGGGCUGGCACUGACGUGAGGAGCGAAAGCGUGGGGAGCGAACAGG